rnacentral:lncRNA from 1 species
AGCAUCAAGUCUACUAAACAUGGCAAGUUUAACACAAGACGUUCGAACUGUUGCAUUCUAUGCCCUCAUGAGUCACAAUUAAUUGAACCCGGGACCGCACCAUACCAUAGCAUUUGAUUUAGUGAAGACCAAUAUUCACAACAGUAAUAAUCAUUUCAAAGGGGCUUUCACUGCUCCGAUUCAUGGUGCAUAUGGGUUCAUAUACGCAUUGCGAAUGCCUUGCAAUGGGUAUGGAACAUUUGAAAUCAUAAAAAAUGACGAGGUCGAAGGAACAAUCCAUGUCAAUGUCGAAAAUGGAUUUACUGGUCAAUUAUCGACAGGAAGCAUCGUUGUUGUCUUAAAUAUUGGAGAUACGGUGUAUGUUAGAACCCACUUUACCAAUACACCUUCUGGUCUGAUUUUAAGCGAAAUCAAUGGUAGUCCGUAUUUUGCUUGAUGGCUGAUUU